AGAGGUAGUGAUUAUCAUUCUUUAUUAUCUACAGUUGUACAUAACUUGUGUUUGUAGCCAAUAUAACGUGCACUCUGAUUAGCUAAUACUAGAGAAUUAUUCUUCUGUAAUGCCCACAGACUGAUUACGGGCCUGCAAAAACAAAGCAAAAAGUCAUACUAGACAACUUAUUAAUCUCAAAUGUUCGGUCGUUACAGGAAAAUCUCCAACUGAGACCUUGCCAUACUGACUGAGCGAUGACCUGGCUCUCGGUUAAUAAGUACAUGUAGUUUGUAUACUGAUAGUUAAUUUGUGAUGUUUUUGAAUUACAGGGGAGGAGUGGUUCGACUGGAAAAGUUAUUUACUUGAUGGGGAAGAAGAAGAAAUUAUUGGUCUUCCCAAUCAACAGUAUCUGGAUUGGUCAGAUGAAGAGGAUGAGGAGCUAGAGUUGACAAGUGAUUCUGCUGCAAUCAGCCUUGAUCAGAGACAGCUGGCAUCUAGUCAGGAUCAGUUUGAAAGAGGAACAAGAAAUAGUGUCACAGACAGGGAAAUUACCGCAAGCUCCAUUCCUAGCCAGGACAGAAGCUGGAUUUCCGACCAAAUAGUUGCUCAAUAUUG